CUACGGGGGACGCGAGCGUUAUCCGGAUUCAUUGGGUUUAAGGGGUGCGCAGGCGGCCGUGCAAGUCAGCGGUGAAAGCCCGGGGCUCAACCCCGGAAGUGCCGUUGAUACUGCAUGGCUGGAAUGCGGUCGAGGCGGGCGGGACGUGGGGUGUAGCGGGGAAAAGCGUAGAUAUUAGGAGGAACACCAGUGGCGAAGGCGGCCUGCUGGACGACAACUGACGCUGAGGCGCGAAAGCGUGGGGAGCAAACAGGAUUAGAUACCCUGGUAGUCCACGCUGUAAACGAUGAAUACUAGGUGUGGGGGGACUGACCCCCUCCGUGCCGGAGUAAACACAAUAAGUAUUCCACCUGGGGAGUACGGCCGCAAGGUUGAAACUCAAAUGAAUUGACGGGG
rnacentral:rRNA from 1 species